rnacentral:rRNA from 1 species
UACGUAGGGGGCAAGCGUUGUCCGGAAUCAUUGGGCGUAAAGAGCGUGUAGGCGGCUCGAUAAGUCUGUUCUGAAAGUCCAGGGCUCAACCCUGGGAUGCGGAUGGAUACUGUCGAGCUCGAGUCCGGAAGAGGCGAGUGGAAUUCCAGGUGUAGCGGUGAAAUGCGUAGAUAUCUGGAGGAACACCGGUGGCGAAGGCGGCGUCCUGGACCAAUACUGACACUGAGGAGCGAAAGCCAGGGGAGCAAACGGG